AGAUUGAACGCUGGCGGCAGGCCUAACACAUGCAAGUCGAGCGGCAGCACGGGUACUUGUACCUGGUGGCGAGCGGCGGACGGGUGAGUAAUGCCUAGGAAUCUGCCUGGUAGUGGGGGAUAACGCUCGGAAACGGACGCUAAUACCGCAUACGUCCUACGGGAGAAAGCAGGGGACCUUCGGGCCUUGCGCUAUCAGAUGAGCCUAGGUCGGAUUAGCUAGUUGGUGAGGUAAUGGCUCACCAAGGCGACGAUCCGUAACUGGUCUGAGAGGAUGAUCAGUCACACUGGAACUGAGACACGGUCCAGACUCCUACGGGAGGCAGCAGUGGGGAAUAUUGGACAAUGGGCGAAAGCCUGGAUCCAGCCAUGCCGCGUGUGUGAAGAAGGUCUUCGGAUUGUAAAGCACUUUAAGUUGGAGGUAGGCAGUUGCCUAAGUACGUAUCUGUUUGACGUUACGACAGAAUAAGCACCGGCUAACUCUGUG
rnacentral:rRNA from 1 species